rnacentral:rRNA from 1 species
GCAAAGGUAGCAUAGUCAUUAGUUCUUUAAUUGUGAUCUGGUAUGAAUGGCUUGACGAGGCAUGGUCUGUCUUAAUUUUGAAUUGUUUAUUGAAUUUGGUCUUUGAGUUAAAAUUCUUAGAUGUUUUUAUGGGACGAGAAGACCCUAUAGAGUUUAACAUUUGCUAUGGUCCUCUUUCUGUUUGUGAGGGUUCACUGGGCCAUUUAAUAUGUUUUGUUGGGGUGAUGGGAGGGAUAAAUUUAACUCCUCCUUUUGUUAUUAUAUUUAUUUAUAUUUACUUGAUCCAUUUAUUUUGAUUGUAAGAUUAAAUUACCUUAGGGAUAACAGCGUUAUCUUCCUUGAGAGUUCUUAUCGGCAGGGGGGUUUGCG